rnacentral:misc_RNA from 1 species
CUGGCAGUAGACAAGGAUGGACGUGUAUCGAGGUUACAUGCUCAUCUGCCCGUACGUUGUGUUCUUCAUCGUAUUUGCUAGACAUGCUAUUCCCAUGUGUCACCAGCAUUCCUAUGUGCGCAUCCAAGAUCUUCAGGACAAGGUAGCCGAAAUUGAGCCACUCUGGAAGGACAAGAAGUUUCAUACACGGGGCUGUGCAGAAAGGUGUUACAGAGACUCCAAGUGUGUCUCUUUCUUCUACAACGCUUUGUCUGGUUCAUGUCAAGGACACACAAAGAUUUACACCAGCCACGACAUUCUGGUUCCUAAACCGGGCUUCAAGUACUCCAUUGAUGGUCUUUAUGCCAACAAUGCAAGUUACAGUGACUGUGAAGAUAUUAUGACUCGGUCCCCUUCCCUGAAAUCUGGCAUCUACGUCGUCAACCCUCCUGGUGGACAUGAGCAGUUCCAAGUCUACUGUUAUUCUGGAACAAGAAUAUGGACGGUGAUCCAAAGACGACAGGACGGAUCUGUAAACUUUUACAGAACCUGGAACGAGUACAAGGAAGGGUUUGGUGACCUGAAUGGAGAGUUCUGGCUAGGCAAUGAAAAGAUAUGGCGUAUUAUGCACGGACGGCAGUACCAGUUAAGAAUAAAGCUCCGGGACUUUCAAGGUGAACCCAAAAGGGCUGACUACAGAGAGUUCUCCAUUGGUAGUCUGGCUGACAACUAUGUUCUACACAUCUCUGGCUUCACUGGCAGCGCAGGUGACUCAAUGAUAGGUCACGGCGGCUGCGCCUUCUCCGCCCGAGACCGCGACCUCGACACCCAAUCCUUCAGCUGCGCCCAAUCAUACAAAGGUGGCUGGUGGUACUGCGCAUGUCACGAAGCAAACCUGAACGGGGAAUACAACAACACAAAGUUCGCACAGGGCAUCAACUGGAACACCUGGCAUGGCUAUUACUACUCUCUGAAAAACACAGAGAUGAGAAUACGACCGUGCUGUUAAUACUGUGUGCACCAUAGACAUUCAUGACCAACUCGUGCCGUCCGGGGACAAGACUAUUGGACCUUCUUGAAGGUUACGGAAAGUCUGAUGCCGUCCGGGGACAAGACUAUUGGACCUUCUUGAAGGUUACGGAAAGUCUGAUGCCGUCCGGGGACAAGACUAUUGGACCUUCUUGAAGGUUACGGAAAGUCUGAUGCCGUCCGGGGACAAGACUAUUGGACCUUCUUGAAGGUUACGGAAAGUCUGAUGCCGUCCGGGGACAAGACUAUUGGACCUUCUUGAAGGUUACGGAAAGUCUGAUGCCGUCCGGGGACAAGACUAUUGGACCUUCUUGAAGGUUACGGAAAGAUGCGAUUGGGGAUGAAUACUCAACAGUCAGAUGCCUUUUAAUUUCUGGUCGUUUUUUUUGUUUAAAACAUUUUUGUUGCUGAUGAUGCUGGACAAAGUGUAUUUAUUUGAAGAAAUAAGAUAAAUCGCACUCUUGACAUGCUGAAUGCUCUGAAAAAUAAUGUUGGUGGUUUUUUCCAGAAACUGCUUGCCUCCUUAUUUUAGAGAAGCGUUGAAUAAAAAAAAUGAUUCUUCUAAAAACAAAAAUCCCAAUACCACCAAAAUCGGUAACUUCCUUUCAUGCUUAUUCAGUGUAGGAAUGAUAAUUUGUAAUUUACCUUUUUGGAUGCACAAUCUUCACAUUUGAAAAUAUGAUAUGCACAUUGAUAUGUUUCACACUACAUGCACACAUAAUCGUUUCGUUUAGUUUUUGAAAGCUGUGAUCAGCAAUAUUCCAGCAAUUUGAUGUUAGCCUGUAAAUAGUCCUCCCCGCUUCGAGCAACUGUGGUAUACAUCAGUAUAACUCUUGUCUUAACAUCAGGAUGAUCUAAGUAACUUCUAACCAAACAGAACAAAUGUUCUUUACAAAUCAUGUGUUAACUGUCUCGCUUGAUCAUUGGAAACAAAACCGACUUUUUAACAUGAGACAGAAAGCCAUAAUUUGCAGCAUAUUUUUAGAAGUUCAACGCCAAUUGGUUUGUGUCCCAUUCGAGUUAUUCCGUUCAACUUCCGUAUUUUCGAAAAACAGUUAAUACCCUUUGCGUUGUUGUGUGUUUAAACAUGACAUUAUGAUCGUUGUUUGGAUAACGACCGGUCACGGGAAUGUUAGGUCGGUUAGGUCUACUAUCGCCUACAGUGCGUCCCCUGGGGUGCGCACCAUGCUGGAACUGUACCAGUUUGUUUCUCUCGGUCUUCUCCAGUUGCUGCAACACUCGGAUCAAGUCGAAGAUGUUUGGAUGGACACGCUUGACCGUCUUCUUGAGGUGACUGUGCCAUCCUUCUAGAUGUUUGUUUGUCCUUGGACCUGUGUUGUCACCGUGGUUCCAAAUUGUAUGACUGGGCCUUCAUACUUGAUUAAAUGUUGUUACUGA